ensembl:misc_RNA Metazoa_SRP Metazoan signal recognition particle RNA
GUUGGGUGCUGUGGCGCCUGCCUGUAGUCCCAGCUACUCGGGAGGCUGAGGUGGGAGAACCACUUGAGCCCAGGAGUUCUGGGCUGUAGUGCACUAUGCCGAUUGGGUGUCCGCAGUAAGUUCGGCAUCAAUACAGUGACCUCCUGGGAGCGGGGGACCACCAGGUCACCUGAGGAGGGUGAACCAGCCCAGGUCGGAAAUGGAGCAGGUCAAAACUCCUGUGCUGAUCAGUAGUGGGAUCGAGCUUGUGAAUAGCCAUUGCACUCCAGCCUGGGCGACAAGAGCAAAACUGUGUCUCAA